AUUGAACGCUGGCGGCAGGCUUAACACAUGCAAGUCGAGCGGGGUGAUGGUGCUUGCACUAUCACUUAGCGGCGGACGGGUGAGUAAUGCUUAGGAAUCUGCCUAUUAGUGGGGGACAACAUCUCGAAAGGGAUGCUAAUACCGCAUACGUCCUACGGGAGAAAGCAGGGGAUCACUUGUGACCUUGCGCUAAUAGGUGAGCCUAAGUCGGAUUAGCUAGUUGGGGGGGUAAAGGCCGACCAAGGCGACGAUCUGUAGCGGGUCUGAGAGGAUGAUCCGCCACACUGGGACUGAGACACGGCCCAGAAUCCUACGGGAGGCAGCAGUGGGGAAUAUUGGACAAUGGGGGGAACCCUGAUCCAGCCAUGCCGCGUGUGUGAAGAAGGCCUUAUGGUUGUAAAGCACUUUAAGCGAGGAGGAGGCUCUUUUGGUUAAUACCCAAGAUGAGUGGACGUUACUCGCAGAAUAAGCACCGGCUAACUCUGUGCCAGCCGCCGCCGUAA
rnacentral:rRNA from 1 species